rnacentral:rRNA from 1 species
GGACAGGCUCGGGAAACCGUGGGUAAUCACGGAUAUUCCGGGACGGCCGCAUGGCCGGCCCGGGAAAGCCCAGACGGGAGGGGAUGGGCCCGCGGCCUGUUAGCUAGUCGGCGGGGUAACGGCCCACCGAGGCGAUUAUGGGUAGCCGGGUUGAGAGACCGACCGGCCAGAUUGGGACUGAGACACGGCCCAGACUCCUACGGGAGGCAGCAGUGGGGAAUCUUGCGCAAUGGGCGGAAGCCUGACGCAGCGACGCCGCGUGCGGGACGAAGGCCUUCGGGUCGUAAACCGCUUUCAGCAGGGACGAGGCCCUCACGGUGACGGUACCUGCAGAAGAAGCCCCGGCUAACUACGUGCCAGCAGCCGCGGUAAUACGUAGGGGGCGAGCGUUAUCCGGAUUCAUUGGGCGUAAAGCGCGCGUAGGCGGCCUGUUAGGUCGGGGGUCAAAUACCGGGGCUCAACCCCGGUCCGCCCCCGAUACCGGCAGGCUUGAGUCUGGUAGGGGAAGGCGGAAUUCCCAGUGUAGCGGUGGAAUGCGCAGAUAUUGGGAAGAACACCGGCGGCGAAGGCGGCCUUCUGGGCCACGACUGACGCUGAGGCGCGAAAGCUAGGGGAGCGAACAGGAUUAGAUACCCUGGUAGUCCUAGCCGUAAACG